rnacentral:rRNA from 1 species
GAUGAACGCUGGCGGCGUGCUUAACACAUGCAAGUCGAACGGAAAGGCCUUGUGCUUGCACAAGGUACUCGAGUUGCGAACGGGUGAGUAACACGUGGGUGAUCUGCCCUGCACUGUGGGAUAAGCCCGGGAAACUGGGUCUAAUACCAUAUAGGACCACUUCUUGGAUGUUGUGGUGGAAAGCUUUUGCGUUGUGGGAUGAGCCUGCGGCCUAUCAGCUGGUUGGUGGGGUAAUGGACUACCAAGGCGGCGACGGGUAUACGGCCUGAGAGGGUGUACGGACACAUUGGGACUGAGAUACGGCCCAGACUCCUACGGGAGGCAGCAGUGGUGAAUAUUGCACAAUGGGCGCAAGCCUGAUGCAGCGACGCCGCGUGGGGGAUGACGGCCUUCGGGUUGUAAACUCCUUUCGCUAUCGACGAAGCCACCUUGGGUGGUGACGGUAGGUAGAUAAGAAGCACCGGCUUACUACGUGCCAGCCGCCGCCGUAAGAC